AAACAUGCCUCGCUCACUAACCUUCGUUCACCAACUUGUGAGAAAUUUCAAGACAGCAAAUUUUCUUUUCAGUAGCUCACAUUCCAAUAUUUUGGUUUCAGGGGCAUGGUACUUGUCAGGCCUUUUUUUCCUGUAAAGAUAUUUAUUUGGGCCCCAUUCAUUCUGUUCCCAUAACCCUUCAUCUUAAACAACAAAAAAGUUUUAAGAAAAGGAAAUUUGAAAGUGUCUAUGGUAAUAGGAGCCCUGGUUGUUCAGUGGUAAGAUCUUGGCUGCUAACCAAAAGGUCGGCAGUUCCAAUCCAUCAGCCGCUCCUUGGAAACUCUACUCUGACCUAUAGGGUCCCUACGAGCUUUUUUUUUUUUUUGAUAUGGUAAUAAGCAACUCAUUGAAAGGUUUCCUUUGUCAUAGCUCCAGGUUCAACUCUGACAAUGCUUGCCAGCAAUGGCCACUCUUCACCUUGAUGAGGUUGUUGAUGGCCCUAGCGCUGUGUGGGAAAUAGGAAGAAAUGCAACAUGGAGGUUCUGUGGCAAAAAGCUAUGAUACAAAGAGAACCAAACUGGGUGGCAGCAGACCUCACUGACCUUAGUUCAGAAGAAUGAUCCCCUGCAAGGACAGAGUUUGAGAAACAUGAAUGUGGCCUUUUCUUCAAAGAACUCAGAUGUGUAUUAUCCUGGAUUCCGAUUUAUACAUGUAGAAACUGAAGACAUUAAACAACGUGCCUAAAGGGAGUUAUUGACUAGAGCUGGGGAAAGACUCCCAGCUUGUGCCGUAACCCAUAGACCCUGUUGACAGAAGUCAGGCUCUGCCGGCUGUUUUGUAAGUGCAAUGUUAGCAAACAAUAAAGCCACAUCUGCUACAGACUUGACCGAGAAAUCAGUUUUUUAGGAGCACAAAUGACCUGGGAGAGAGGAAGUAAAUCUGAGAAAGAUGAGACCCUACGGUUGCUAAGGUUUGUAUUAGAGACUUGCAGAAAUGAACAUUUACUCCCAAGAGUGCUCAGGGAACAUCCGAGCCACCACAAUUAUUCCUGCACAAAACCUCUCUAUUACUUGCUUCUAACUAGCCUAGUUUUCUAGUUAUCUGACAUGGACAUAGCUUUACUGAUAACAAGAGUGAGGAGGGUGCAGGAGCUGUGCCCAGUGUGGGGGAAAGGUAUGUGGAAAUAAACUCAGAGAUAAAAAAUAAGCUUGGUAUUAAUGGGGUGUUUUAAAGAAUGUUCCCCCAUCAUGUGACUAAAAAAAAAGGAAGCAUGCCAUUUAGGUCAUUGCUAGAAUAUUGAAUUGCUAACAUCGGCUUUUCACAGUUUGGAUAAAAUAUGCAACCAAAUCCCAACUAACACUCAUUGUGAAAACACAUAUUGAAAAUCCUUUUUCAUUCAGAGCAGACAAUCUAGAAGCACUGUUUUGGCCACAAGAAUGUGUCCCUAUUAAAAUGACACCAGAGCCCCAGACUAGAGCGGUGCUUUAACUUGCCACACAAGAGCUGGGAUUUUUACUUUGUUUCACAUUCCUCACAAGGCUCCGUUUUGAAGCUUUUAGGCAAGAGGUGAUGCGGGGACAGCAUUGUAUUGAUAAAGAUUUCAAAGCUGAGGAGUUUCCCACCGACUGACCUAUUUUACCACGGAUGUGUUAUAUACUGCAGAAAGUUUCACGCACACAGCAAAUUCAUUAAGGCAUGGCAUUCUUACGUACGGAUGUGUGUGUGUGUGUGUAUAAAGUAUAUACAUAUAAAUAAGUGCAUACUUUUGCUGGAAGACUGAAUAAUCUGAGUUUGAUCAAUUAUUUAUGCAUUUUAAUAAGAGAUCAUGGCUAAUACCUUUAAGAAUCCGCUUUUUAAAUCCAGAAUUUUAUUUUUCUGUCUUGUUGUUGAAUUUUUUUUUUAUUGUGCUUUAAGUGAAAGUUUACAGCUCAAGUUAGUUUCUCAUACAAAAAUUUAUACACACAUUAUUAUGUGACCCUAGUUGCUCUCUCUGUAAUGUGACAGCACGCUCCUUCUUUCCACCCAGGAUUUCCUGUGUCCAUUCGACCCAGCUCCCUGUCCCCUUCUGCCUUCUCAUCUCACCUCUGGACAGGAGCUGCCCAUUUAGUCUCGUGUAUCUACUUGAAAGAAGAAGCACAUUCUUCAUGAGUAUCAUUUUAUAUCUUAUAGUCCAGUCUAAUCUUCGUCUGAAGAGUUAGUUUCGGGAAUGCUUUUAGUUCUGGGUUAACAGAGAGACCGGGGGCCAUGUCUUCCGGGGUUCCUUCAGUCUCAGUCAAACCAUUAAGUCUGGUCUUUUUACUAGAAUUUGAGUUCUGCACCCUACUUUUCUCCUGCUCUGUCAGGGACUCUCUGUUUUGUUCCCUGUCAGGGCAGUCAUUGGUGGUAGCCAGGUACCGUCUAGUUCAUCUGGUCUCAGGCAGAUAGAGUCUCUGGUUUAAGUGGCCCUUUCUGUCUUUUGGGCUAAUAUUUUCCUUAAGUCUUUGGUGUUCUACAUUCUGCUUUGCUCCAGGUGGGUUAGGAUCAGUUUGAUGUAU